rnacentral:lncRNA from 12 species
AAAAUAAAAGCACCACCUCUUGCCACCAGGGCUCAAAGACUGACCCUCGCUAGUGCGGCCACCCGGGCCACUGCCUCCUAGUUCAUACACUGAGCCAAUUACAAGCCUCUGAGCGGGGGGGAAAAGUAACUGCUCCAGGUGGCUGGGAAGAGAAACCGCGGAAAAACCUGGACGCCCCGCCCCGCGCAAGCCCCGCCCCUCCUGCGCGAGCCCCGCCCCCGAGGGUAGCCCCGCCCCCGCGCGCAGAUACGCGGGGCGGGAAGGCGUGGAGGGGCGUGGCCUGCGUCCGCAGCGGAGGCGGGAGGCUGGUCUUCCUCCGAUCCCGGGUCUGAGGCGCUGUCCAAGGACCGGAAAGGGAAUGGUUUUAAUGAGCUUUCCGCCAAAAUAGGACCAAGGAGUGGUUCCCUCCAGCUCCCUCCAGUAGAAAUCUGAUUCCAGCCUGACCCGAGCAGGUAAAGGUCUUCCGCCUUCCACCCCGCCCCCUCGCCUCGGCCGCUCUGGACUACAAACCCCAGAAGGCGUCGGAGCUGCGCCCUCCGACUUGCGCCGCGGCGUUGGUUGUAAAGUGCUAUGACAACAGGGCGAGGGUGGCUCGGAGUCAGGCAGGAGUGGGGACGUGUGCCUUCCGCGGCUGCCGUCCUUCGCCGGUCUCUCCCACUGACUGUCUUCCUCAGCGUUUCCUCCUCUUUGUGGGAAGCGGGACUUACCGUGGUUCUGGCCUGCCUGGUCUCUUGAGGGACUGACGCCGUGUUCCCCGCGUGUCUCCGGGAUUGGCACGGAGGGGAUGCAGGCUUCCUGCUUGUGGGUGUCGCUCCAGCUCUGUGGAGCCGGUGGUGCUCCCUGCUGAAGCGCUUUCCGUCUGGGACGAGGAACAAGUUGGAGCAGGGGAACCGCCGGGAGUAGUGAAGCGAGGGCUUGCUCUGCUCUGCACCCUCCAUUCUUGCUCUCGUCGUUGCAGCUCUGGCACCCUGGCAGGAAGCAGUUCUUCAAGGGAAAUCUGUGGAGAGUUCGAGGAAAGGUGGGUUCAGGACCCACCUGAUUCGGCGUCAGCAUCCACCUGGACAGUGAUUUUAUCCUCUGGCAUAGGAACCUUCAGGACAUUAAACUACUUCUCAAAGUCAUCUACCAAGCCAGCCUUUGCUACAUUGGCCUUGUAGUAAGCCCAGUUGAUAGCAGGUGAUUUCUUAGGAAGAGUAGUGGCCAACCUGGAAGUAAGCAUCUCAUUCCAGGAUUUCAGGGAGAUGGCAAUGGCCUUCUGGUUUUGGGGUAUGAUCUCCCCAAAAGCUACCCAAUCAAUGGUUUUUAGAGCAAGUUUUCACCCAGCCAUCUUGAGAUCCUUCACCGACCCUGGCGGCCCAGAGUCCACAGCUGCUGGCAAUUUUUAAAAAAAGAUUUAUGUAUUUGAGAGAGAGAGAGCAAGUGUGCACACACAGCAGAAGGAGGGGUAGAGGGAGAAAGAAUCUUUAGCAGACUCCUGGCUGAGCAUGGAGCCCCAGUGCAGGGCUCGAUCUCAUUACCCUGAGAUCAUGACCUGAGCUGAAAUCAAGAGCCAGAUGCUUAACCCACGGAGCCACCCAGGUGUCCUACUUGUUGGCAAUUCUAUAUGAAUUUCAGAAUAAAUUAGUCAAUUUGUACA